CGGCGUGUAGCUCAGCAGUAGAGCACCGGGCUAGAACCCGGAAGGCGCAGGGGCAGCACCUGCCACGCCGGCCA
rnacentral:tRNA from 1 species